rnacentral:rRNA from 1 species
GACGAACGCUGGCGGCGUGCCUAACACAUGCAAGUCGAACGGAGUGUUUAUUUAUAAACACUUAGUGGCGAACGGGUGAGUAGCGCGUAGACAACCUACCCUCUAGAUGGGGACAACACCGCGAAAGUGGUGCUAAUACCGAAUGUUGUAAUGUUAUUGCAUAAUGAUAUUACUAUAGGUGGCCUCUAUAUAAAAGCUACCGCUAGAAGAUGGGUCUGCGUCUGAUUAGCUAGUUGGUGAGAUAACAGCUCACCAAGGCAAUGAUCAGUAGCCGGUCUGAGAGGAUGAACGGCCACACUGGGACUGAGACACGGCCCAGACUCCUACGGGAGGCAGCAGUGGGGAAUCUUCCGCAAUGGACGAAAGUCUGACGGAGCAACGCCGCGUGAGUGAAGUAGGUUUUCGGAUCGUAAAGCUCUGUCUUCAAGGACGAAUGUAGAUAUUGUGAAUAAUGAUAUUUAAUGACGGUACUUGAGGAGGAAGCCACGGCUAACUACGUGCCAGCCGCCGCGGUAA